AACGAACGCUGGCGGCAUGCCUAACACAUGCAAGUCGAACGAGACCUUCGGGUCUAGUGGCGCACGGGUGCGUAACGCGUGGGAACCUGCCCUUAGGUUCGGAAUAACUCUCCGAAAGGGGUGCUAAUACCGGAUAAUGUCUUCGGACCAAAGAUAUAUCGCCUUUGGAUGGGCACGCGUUGGAUUAGCUAGUUGGUAGGGUAAAAGCCUACCAAGGCGACGAUCCAUAGCUGGUUUGAGAGGAAGAUCAGCCACACUGGGACUGGGACACGGCCCAGACUCCUACGCGAAGCAGCAGUGGGGAAUAUUGGAAAAUGGGCGGAAUGCUGAUCCAGCAAUGCCGCGUGAGUGAUGAUGGCCUUAGGGUUGUAAAGCGCUUUUACCCGGGAUGAUAAUGACGGUACCGGGAGAAUAAGCUCCGGCUAACUCCGUG
rnacentral:rRNA from 1 species